AUCCUCCAGAUUUUUUUCUGGAUGUCAUCAAUGGAGAUUUGACCACAUUUGGGAGUGAAAUGCCGUAUUGAUAAGGAAGCUAGACCAACAGAUGUGACUCAGACCAAACAGGACAUUUUAGUUGAAGGAUUUAAAUAUUCCCUUUGGAAUAAAAGGCUGCAAGAGGAAAUUCACAAAAUCGUCUCUGCAUUUCAAGAGAACUUUGAAGAGAACAAUGUCACUAUCGACUAUGUCACUUCUUUCGUACAUC
rnacentral:sRNA from 1 species